rnacentral:rRNA from 1 species
GGACUGAUUACGAGUGAGAAUGUUGGCAUUAGUAGCGAGAUGUGGGUGAGAAUCCCACAGGCCGAAUACCUAAGGUUUCCUCAGGAAGGUUCGUCCGCUGAGGGUUAGUCGGGACCUAAGCUGAGGCCGAAAGGCGUAAGCGAUGGACAAUCGGUUGAUAUUCCGAUACCACUAUUAUCGUUAUUAUCGAUGGUGUGACGGAGAAGGAUAGGAUGUGCUAGCUAUUGGAUGCUAGUCUAAGCGUUUAGGGAGUUAGAAUAGGCAAAUCCGUUCUAACAAUUCUGAGGCGUGAUGGGGAAGGUUCUAAGGAACCGAAGUAUCUGAUUCCAUGCUUCCAAGAAAAGCAUCUAGAAAGAGAAAUAGUGCCCGUACCGCAAACCGACACAGGUAGGUGAGGAGAGAAUCCUAAGGCCGGCGGAAGAAUUGCAGUUAAGGAACUAGGCAAAUUGACCCCGUAACUUCGGGAGAAGGGGUGCCUGCGAGAGCAGGCCGCAGAGAAUAGGCACAAGCAACUGUUUAACAAAAACACAGGUCUCUGCUAAAGCGAAAGCUGAUGUAUAGGGGCUGACGCCUGCCCGGUGCUGGAAGGUUAAGGGGAACACUUAGCGUAAGCGAAGGUGUGAACUUAAGCCCCAGUAAACGGCGGCCGUAACUAUAACGGUCCUAAGGUAGCGAAAUUCCUUGUCAGGUAAGUUCUGACCCGCACGAAUGGCGUAAUGACUUGUGCACUGUCUCAACUGCAAAUCCGGCGAAGUUGUAGUGCGAGUGAAGAUGCUCGCUACCCGCGAUUGGACGGAAAGACCCCGUAGAGCUUUACUGUAGCUUAGCAUUGAAUUUCGGUAUUGUCUGUACAGGAUAGGUGGGAGACUGGGAAAU